GUGCUCACUUUGGCAGCACAUAUAUAAAAUUGGAAAGAUACAAAGAAGAUUAGUGUGGCCCCUGCCCAGGGAUGAUAAUACACGAAUUUAUGAAGCCUUCCAUAUUUUU